UACGUAGGUUGCAAGCGUUGUCCGGAUUUACUGGGCGUAAAGGGAGCGUAGGCGGAUACUUAAGUGGGAUGUGAAAUACCCGGGCUCAACCUGGGUGCUGCAUUCCAAACUGGGUGUCUAGAGUGCAGGAGAGGAAAGUGGAAUUCCUAGUGUAGCGGUGAAACGCGUAGAGAUUAGGAAGAACACCAGUGGCGAAGGCGACUUUCUGGACUGUAACUGACGCUGAGGCUCGAAAGCGUGGGGAGCAAACAAG
rnacentral:rRNA from 1 species